UGUUGCUCCUGACUCAGGGGGUCAGGAGAAUGAAAGAUGCAGAGCAAAAUUGAUCUGUGCCAGACAAAUGAAGAUGAAACAAUGACCUCUGGAAGGAAAUACUGUUCUUUCACGUUUUAUUUUCAACGUCCAAAGCAGAAUUGAACCAAGACCCAUAAAGAAAUAUAUUCCAGUUUUGAUUACGCAGAACUAAGGAGACCAGAGUUAAAUGUAGUGCCAUCUUUGUAUCAACUAUCAUAGUCUUGUCAACAGAUGGCACUUGGUUGUCUGAGUCUAGCCCUGGGUCAUUAUCUUUGUCUUCCUGUCUAGAAUUCAUGUUCCUGUCCAUCUCAUUUAGUUCCAACUGAAGCCUUGAAUGCAGAUCCAGACAUCUUCAUGCAAAGGUAACUUUCCUGCAUGUGUCUACAUUUUAUUCAGAAUUUUGUGGGUUGAUCCUGACAUCUCUUUCAGAAUCUACCCCUUCCUGGUGCCAGCUGGUCUUUAUAAAUGAUGAGGUGUUGGCACCAAAAUGUUUGUAAAACAUUCUUUCUACUUCUCCAUUUUCUGCUUUAUAAGAGUGCAGAACGCUCUGAUUCAGACACAUUGAUUUUUGGAUUUUAUAAAUAUACCCUUCUCUAUGUUAAUUGAUCUGACAGCUAAACACCUUUGCUUUAGCAUUUUAUUUAUAUGGCAUUUUCAUCAGUCUGACAGAUCCUUCUGAUUUUAUAACCUUGUACUGAUAGCAAGUCAUGUUCUGUGACCAGGAAAAAAUCAGACUAACUUCAGCUGCAAAACUAUGGUGAAGAGUAAUGGCAUACAUGAUUAAUGCAAUAACUUCAACCAAACUGGGGUGAGUGCUGAUUGCUAGGCUUAGGAAUUCAAACUUUAUCCCGGAAGAAAAGAAGAUGACAGAGUGAAACCAGGACAGCACAGGAGAGAGAUAAGAAUAAAUCCCCGGCAAUUUAUUCCAUAAAUGUGAUUUUGAGGAAGUCAUUUCUAUUGUUUUAGUGCCCUGUUCUCCAAAAAUUAAAAGUUUAAAUCAGAUUUCUUUCUAAGACCCUUUGCAGAAUCCAGUGACUGUAUUGUACUUUAUCCUGGAUAAGGUUAUACCAUAAUUAUCGAGCUCAUGAUUUCAAUUGGACAGAAAUAAGUCUGGUUAAGCACACAAUGUGUUUGGAAGGAAGGACAGAAGAAAUCUGUUAAAAAGUAGAGAAAAACACAAAACCCAUUGUGUUGAAACCCUUGUUGAUGGCUGGGUCUGAUGUAAUAAUCUCUGCAUCCAAAAGCAUCACCUCUAAUUUGGCUUAACUUCAGGGAAGUUUCUAUAGCAACAACAGUGCAUUACUGUGGGAACAGCGCCUGCUCACAACUUUCUCAGGAAUGAGUCACUGCGAUUGGAGGUCCCACUGGCAAUCUGGCUGAAUCUGAGCAGCACAAAGACUUCCAAAGUCUAACUGAGCUGUUAUCUAUUUUCCACCUUUAGAUGUGGGCUUAAGUGUGCACUCAUUCCAGGGUGACAUGUGAGCGGCCCCAUCACUGAGCUCACACACCAGCUCUCCUUGGCCCCUACACCACUCGGUUUUCAGCCAUGGACACACCACACGUUCCUAGGUGCCGCACCGGAGGGACACCAGGUGCUGACUUGUAUCUCUGGACACAGUUUUUCCCCUGCUGCCCUGUAAGUGCCACCACGCAGGUCUGCCAGUGCCCUGACCGUGUCAGAUGCAUAUAAACAGAUGCUGAUGAUUGAGUCAUAGAUGCUGUCACUGCGACGGCAGCUGAGACUGAACCAGGGACAGGUGUCGAGGACUGAGUCAUAGAUUUUGUUGUUGUUGUUGUUGUCACUACGAUUGAAUCAGACACAGAAGUUUUAUGUGGACGUUAGAUCUAAAGUCAGAACAGGAGUUGAACUGAAUUGAGAUGUGAUCUGUGUGAUGUGGUCUCAUUCUGGUCAUACUCCGCCUCCGUCGGGUGUCGCUGGGCUAUUCCUUUUCUUUGUCACUGCAGGUUUUUGGGUAGUUUUCAGUAUUUAUUAUUAUUA